CUCAGGUUCGGGAAUAGUUUGUUCCAAUUGUAGUAUUUCUCCCCCUGCUUGUGAGCCUUCUAUGUUUGGAGAAGUUGGACUGGGAUUUCCUUUGUUCUCCAUAUCUUGAAUACCCUGUUUCUGUUGUUGUUUUUCAGAAAACAAGGGAUGGAGAUUGAAUAGGAUUUGGUAAGGGAUCCGAAGUUGUCUGCCAAAAAUUUUCUUCCUUUUUCUUUUUCUCCCCUUGAAGAGAAUUUUUGAUAAAAUAGGAUUGAGUUUCAAGAAAGGAGACAUCCAUAAUCACCCAAAUGUUUUUGUUUCAGGAUUAUAGCACUUGUUGCCUCUUUUGUUUGGAGCAUACCCAAUGAAAACACAUUUUUCUGCUCUAAGAUCAAGUGUGGAUCGAAUUUGGCUAGGUAUGUGAACGAAAAUAGUGUAGCAAAAAAUUUUUGAAGGCAAAUUUGAAUUAAUUCUGCAAUCAAGAAAUGUUUUUUUGCAAUAUUUUAAGGGUGUGACAUAUUGCAAAACCCGGGUAGGCAUUCUAUUAAUUAAAUAAGAGGUUGUCAAAAUGGCAUCUCUCCAUAGAUAUUUGGGAACAUACAUAGAGAACAUUAUGGCUCAGGCUACUUCCAGUAUAUGCUUAUUUUUUCUUUCGGCAAUACCAUUUUGUUGAUGAGUGUCACGACAUAUAGAUUGAUGAAAAAUAACUUUUUUUCUAAAAAAAUUCCCUAGAUAUUUAUUGAAGUACUCUUUUCCAUUAUCAGCUCAAAAAAUACUAAUUUUUGAAUGAAAUUGAUUGUCAAUCAUUUUGUAAAAAUCUUGAGACACGUUUUUUACUUCAAAUUUGUCUUUCAUCAAAUAAACCUAGCAAAGUCGAGUGUGAUCAUCUAUAAAAGUUACAAACCACUUUACACCAGUCAUGGUGGUAACCUUGGAGAAACCCCACAUCACUAUGAAUUAAGUAGAAUGGUUUAGAGGCACGGUAGGGUUUUGUAAGAUAAGUAGUUCGAUGACUUUUAGAUAAAUAACAACUUUCACAUUGAAAAGACGAACAAUCCAAAUUUUUAAACAAGUUAGGAAACAAAUGUUUAAGAUAUGAAAAACUAGGAUGUCCUAGUCUAAAAUGCCAAAGCAUUAUUUGCUCGCGAGCCGAAAGUGAACUAAUACUACAAUCAUAGCCUUGAGUUGUUUUAUUGCUGGAUAUGUCAUCAUCAAAGUAGUAAAGACGAUUGACCAUUCUAGCACUGCCAAUCAACCUCCCCAAGUUUCGGUCCUGAAAUUCACAAUGAGAGUCAAAGAAAACAACACGAAAGUGAGAGUUUUUGGAUAGUUUACUGGCAGACAACAACUUGCAGGCCAGUUUAGGAACAUGAGGGACAGAAUGAAGAGUAAUAUUUUCUAAAAUUUUUAUUUGAACUUUUCCUACAAUAGGUGAGAAAUUGCCAUCAGCAAUCCUAACUCUUUGACUUUCAGAAUAAAAUAAAUAAGUAUUGAAUAAAGAAGAGAAAGAAGUCAUGUGAUCAGAUGCCCCCGAAUGUACAUCUAGAUGGACUGAAACCAACGCAAGAAAUAAUCACCAUUGAGUUUAAUGCUGGUGAUUUGCACCGAGUGAGAAUCAAUGUUGGGAGACAUGUUUGUCAAUGUUUUUCGGUGAAACGGUAACAGUGGAUUCAGAUGUGGUUUCUGAUAUGGUGAAGGACAGCUUGAUGGUUCUAGGAUUACCUCAGAAGGGUCAGAGAAUAAGUCCUCAGCUUUGAUACCAUGAAAGCUAGAAAGAACAAUAUUUCUUAUUCUCAUAUUUAAAUAAUGUACAUAGCACCUCUAUUUAUAGGAGAUACAAGGCAUAAAAUUAGGAAUUGAUUAGCUACUAAUUAGCUACUGAUUCUGAGGACUGAUUAGCUAUUAUUUAGCUACUAAUUUUGAUCCUAAUAAACUUUCCUAUUCUAUAGUAUUGACUAAAUCUAAAUGUUUACAGUUGUGAUAUCCAAAAGAAUUCAGCCAUAUCCUGGAAGAAUUAUUUUCUUUCCAUUUCCAAUAUUGAAUAUAGUUGAUAUUUGUUAGUUUUCCUUUUCUUAGCUUCUGUGGCGCAUAGGCAUUGUUCGUCAUGCUAUGCUUUUUAAGGGGUAAAGUGUUUUAUUGCCAUAAAAGGGGAUUUACAAUGAAGCUCAUGACAUGCCAAAGGCAAUACCCCCUCUAAAAGAGUGCUUACGCCUAGCCUGCAGAACAAUUAAACCUUAGCAAUUGGCAUUUUAGGAUAGAAAUUUGUGUGCUUUGCAAAUCCUUAGAACCUGGGGUCAAGAAAAAAUUGAGAAACUAAUUGGCAUGAGUAGUAUUUUAAUUUUGAGUUACUACUUAUGUCUACAAAUUGGCUUUCAUACUUAACCAAAAAAAAAAAGAAAAAGAAGAAAAAACAAAAACAGGGUUAAGUUAGUAGUUUAUUGGUGGUAGUUGCUACAUAAUUGAUGUCUGUUGGGCUAUAUAUAAUAAAUCCACGUGUUUUUUGGGAGAUAAAUGUAGACCUUUUUUUAUUCACUGGCAACUGAGCAGCGAGUAGUAACACAAGUGAUGAAGACUAAAGAAUUCCUCAACUGAACAGUGUGUCAACAACCAGCUGACAUGGGCAUGGAGAUAGAAGGUGAUGGGCGUGCCCGCAUAUCUUCAAUUCGAUCUAGGCAGAGUCGACAACCAGGUAAUUUCUAAUCUCAGUUGUCACUCAAGAAUAAAUUCACUUACAUUGCUACAAUUUCUUGGAAAUGGAUAUCGUAUUUCAUGAGUAAAAGAUCAAAAUUAUUCUGUUGACACGGCUUCUACAUGCUCCAAUUAGUAUGGUGUUAGAAUUGUAUGAUGCACGAUUCGAUUCAUACAAUUUAAUAUGAGUUUCAACCAAAAUUAUUUGAAUUGUGUUGUUAGAAAAUUGGGUGUCCUGUUGAAUUGAGAAUUGAGUAGUUCGUCUAUGUUUUUGUUUACAUAAUGUAUUGAAAUGAGGCCUUUUUCUGUUACUCUACGAUGAAACAAAAAUAGGGGAAUUGCUUAUAUUGAUAUACGUGGUUAUAUAUAAUUUAUUUAUAUUGAUACUAUGUAGUAUUUGACUUUGAUUGCUACAGUGUUCCCACAUAUGUGUGAGGUUUGGAAAUUCCUUUCCAAUAAUUUGGGCUGUAUUUGAUAAGCAUCCUGCGGAUCUUGUAUGAGAAGGAAAUAAGAAAUCGAAAAAAAAAAAAAACUUUGUUUAUAGUUUCAUGUGGAAAAAACAUGCAAAGAGCGAACUGCUAAUACAUGUAUUAUCUUUUGCAAUUUUAUCUUUUCUUUUGUGGAAAUUUUGUUAGAAUUUUGUAUUUCAUUUGUUGUGAUGGGUUAUAGAAACCAAAAACUCACUUUUCGUAGUUUUUAGAUAAUUAGAGAUUGACAAUUCCAACUUCCUUUACUUCAUUCAAAAAGUUGUUCAGAAUAAUUGAUCAGAAUUAUUUUGAGGAACCGGUUUGUGCAUAUUAUUCAAAAUAAUUUUACUUUUAGGAGCAGUUAGUUUUUCGUUUGUAUUUUUUUUUUCCUUUGUGUUUUUGGCGCUAACCCCUUGCAGGCAAUGACACAUAUAGACAUGGUUAAUCAUUUAAGGUAAUCUCCUAUACUUUUUGAUUUUAUUUUUUACAUUCAGGACAAUGCAUCGUUUAGGUUGGGGGCAGAAAAUACUUAUUUUGAGAAGAAUUUAUAUAUUUGCUUGCUGCUAUGAGUUAGUUGUUUUGUUUUUUU